GGCAAGGUAGCUCAGUUGGUUAGAGCGGGUCUCUCAUAAGGACCAGGCCGGGGGUUCAAGUCCCCCCCUUGCUA
rnacentral:tRNA from 1 species